AGCUGAGAAUGUUUGUGGCUUUUCCUAAGGAGGUCCCUGCCUUACAGAAAAGUUUAUAAUGGUCUUUUAGACUUGCUGGAGAUGAGAAUCUCGAGACUUAAGAGAGUCUCUCGGUAUUAGGCUGAUUUCAAUGAAUUAUAAAUUGAAGUAGCCACACUGAGGGAGGCCACCCAUCCAGCCCAAGUUAUAUGAACAGGGGUUUAAGAUGUCAGACCUCUCAUAUUUCAUGUGACCAUGCUGGAUCUAAGUGGAAAUUUUACACUGAAGGGGAAAGAUCAUGUCUGUGUUAUUUUAGAAAGGCGGUCUCUCCUCCCGCCGUGCUUUUAUCCUUCAGUGUUUUGUAAGUGUCCCGGUCUCCUGAGACGGAGGCGAGUGUUACUGCUGUUGUAUCACGGAUGGAGAGGUGGUGCAUGGAUACGAGUCGACUUUCACCUUGCAGUCCAGUGAAGUUUAGGGGUCCUGAAGCAGCUAUUUGGUUCAAGACAGACAACAGUGACAAAGUUGUGACCUAGGCUGUCCCUUGCUCUGCCUGCUGUGGCCCCAGGGACUUUCUGACAGCCAGGCUCGCAGGCCAGCUUGGAAUCCCUCGUUAACUGACUCAAGUCAUUGAAAGGCGACAUCAAGCCUGCUUUGAACUCUGCUCAGCGCUGGGCAAAUCCCAAGCAUGCACCACAGGGAAAUCGUGUGAAGUUUGAACCAAGGGUCUGCUCCCUGACCUAGAUCCACAGCCCUUUUUAUAAUUUUAUUUUUAGAUGGGGUCUCAUUAAGUUAUAGAUUAAAAACUGGGGUCAACUUAACACCAGCUGAAUUAAAUCACUGAGCAUGGAUGUUCCACCUGAGGAAAGCUGCCAGCCUAAGUAGAGACGGAGAAGGAGGGUAUUAAGGCAUUGAGGCAUUGUGAGUUUUCCUACAUGUUGCUGUUUGAGCCAUUGGUUCUCCUGGAGAAGCUCUGGUCCUCACAUCAAGUAUUGCUUCCUGGCUCCAGAGGAGAAGACGUGUGCUGCUUGGUCUCCAGGAUGAGCUCGUCAUGCUGGCUUCCUGGCAUGUACUUGACUGUGUUUGUCAUCGGAGGAGCUCGGGGCCUCUGUGUCGCUGAGGAUGGCUGUGGUGCUUUUUAGGACAGCCCUGGUCUUUGUUUUGAGUGUGACUUCUUGGCUCCAGCAUAGAAUCCUCAACCUACCAGCACAGCUCCUUCACCCCGCUGGCAUAGACUUUCUAGCUUCCACCGCUGACUUUUGGGCCUUCCCAGCACGGAUCUGUAAAAGAGUGUGGCGUGAGUCCUUCUCUUGGGCUCUGGACCUCCAGUUGGACUUGUAGGAGGCAUUGUCAUGAGCUCUGGGUCUUCAUCUGGACUCAUUGGGACAUUACUGUGGGGUUCAGACCCUUGGCUAAAUAUUCUAUGUCUUUAGUGUUGUAGAUCGAUUUCCUGCACUUUGUGUUAACUCUGGGUGACCAUCAUAAAUGAUAUUAUAAAUUCCAUGUCCUGGGUCUAACUGUUCUCCUCACAACCCCUGACUACAACAGUCACUAAGUCACCUAGGCUCAAAUUUGCUACCCUCCGCCUCUCAGAAUGCUAUGAUUUACAGGUGUGCUUCACCAUAUGUGGGGAGCUAUUGAGGCUGGAACCUGAACACAUGUGCAGGGCUGCAGCAGGCUGGGGCAUGGCUGACCACAGAACAAAAAGACACCUCACAGGGCAAGAUAAGGCCACAACUGAGGACAGCUGGCUCCAACCUCAAUUAACAAGAUAGAGAUUGUAGCUGCUGGCAUCUCAGUCCUAUAGUGAAAGUCCACCUGGAGACUUCCUCCUAAGAUACUUCUCCUAUAUUAACAGUCUAUUAUUUGGAAAAGUCAUUGAACCAUUCCCAAGGUCCUGCUCAGUUUCCUGCAUUUUCCAGUCUAACCCCUUCCUUGUUUGAAUACUAAAUAAAUACGGAUCACCCAGAGACAUCCUUGUCUCAGCCCCCAGAAGUCUCCAAACUCUGCAGAGAGUUUUGAUCCUCCUGGAGCCCCAAAAUCAUACCACUUGUCUCAUUUAUUUAAGCCUUAGCCGUAGAUGCAUUUAGGGUAUUGAUGAUCUUGGCCAGGUCCCCAAUAACCAUAGCUGAUUUACCUCUGUCAAACUUAUAAUCGAAGAAAUCUCAUUGGGCUGUCUCAUCCCAUGAUUCUUAUUGUAUAGUUCUAUAAAGUUGUCAUCCAAUUGUCAUCAAAACUGAUUUUACAUGGGGCUUGAGAGAAGCAGAAAACAAAGGGACCAGAGUGCCUGCCAGUGGUUUCCUUGCACAGUGGUAAGAUCAUGACCUGAGUAUCUGCAGGGAGCCUGUGCUGGGACGACAGUAUGCUGUGCCUCUGCUCUUUAUAUCAACGUGGAUGGGAGGGUAGUUAUAGUCCUUGUGGCCAAGCUCAUUUUAAACCAUCUUGUAGGCUCAAAAAUAGCCCAUACCUUGGGCUGAGUACCAGUUAUCCCUGCUGUGUGACAGAUAACCCCAAAAUGCAGAGGCAAAACCCAAAAACACUUACUAUGCACAGAGUCUGAGGUGUCGCUGGGGUUGGUUUUGUAGGUGGGUUCUGGUCUGCAUUUCUCCCGCGGCCGCCAUCAAGGUGUGGAUUGGAGCUGCGGUCGUCUGACGGCUUGACUGAGGAAGUCUACAUCCAAUGCCAU